rnacentral:lncRNA from 1 species
CCAGUCCCGCCAGAUCCUAGCUGCGCACUGGGCAUUAAUCUCAAGGCCAGGGCGCCGAAUGGAAGGACUUCAAAGGAAUCACAAGCUAGAGCUGUGGGACCGUGGGCUGGUGCUCUCCGUGGCAAGAGUGGGGACUUGGGAGCCUGAUCCUUCGUUCUGCUCCUGCUAUUCUCAAGGCCUGGUGGGAAUCAGCGGUCAGCAUGGCUUCGAGUGCAAAGGGACACUUGGGACUGCGCUGCUGGUGGAAGCCAGGCCUGGAGGACCGUGCUUUGAGUGGAGGCCAGACCUGACUGUGAUUUGCACCUGA